GCCAGAAAUUUGAGGGGUGUUUGAACUCACCAGGCCCCCGCAUUGGAAGACUGCAACAUUAGAAGAAACCCUGCAUGAGCUUCCUGCCUGCUGGCCUGCACUGCAGAUUUCAGACUCAAGACUGCAACAUUAACUUUUCAGUGUUCUUGCCUGCACUACAAAUUUCAGCCUCACCAAGCCCCAUGAUCAUGAAAAUUUUGAAGGUCUGCACUCCAGAAUUCAUCUCCUUUCCUGCCCCGGCCAGUGGGCCAGACCUUGAAGGAAAUUUUAUGGCUGCAGACUGAAAAAUUGAGGACCUGUAACCCGCAUUUUUACACUUCAAAAUUGAGCACUUCACAUCCACUAGGCAACAUGUUAUAUUUAACUUGCAUUAUGUCUAGUCAUAUACUCACCUGAAAAUAUACGUGUUUUUCAUUGUGAAUAAGAUUUGUUUCAUAAA